GAUGAACGCUAGCUGGAGGCUUAAUACAUGCAAGUCGAGCGGGAUUGGUAGCAAUACCAUGAGAGCGGCGCACGGGUGAGUAACGCGUACACGACCUACCUCUGACAGGGGGAUAGCCCUGGGAAACUGGGAUUAAUACCGCAUAUUAUUCUGAUUAAUAAAGGAUUGGAAUGAAAGUUCAGGCGGUCAGAGAUGGGUGUGCGUCUGAUUAGCUAGUUGGUAGGGUAACGGCCUACCAAGGCGAUGAUCAGUAGGGGGCGUGAGAGCGUGGUCCCCCACACGGGUACUGAGACACGGACCCGACUCCUACGGGUGGCUG
rnacentral:rRNA from 1 species